rfam:Capsicum annuum cultivar Zunla-1 chromosome 12, whole genome shotgun sequence
GGCUCAUGAUGAUAUUCCCUAAGGCUUGUUUCUCUAAACAUUCGCAGUGGCCGCCUAAGUGCUUUCGCCUUCGCCGGGCUUGAGAGCAUAUGCUGCCUUUAUCCUUCCUUGGAUGUCUGAGGCU